rnacentral:lncRNA from 1 species
CCUUUCCCGUUCCCCAUCCGCCUGAUUGAAUGAGUAAACAAUAAAUGGUUGACAAAAGGAUUUUUUUGGUUGGUCGCAACACCCAGGCAACAACAUCGACAUAGGUUAUAACUUGCACGUUUAAGUUUUCGUUCUGAUCUCAUAGUUUUAAUUCCUAAUCCCUCAUCAAAUCGAGGCAACCUUUCAAAAAAGGCAACCUGCAAUCUUCGACGUCGGAGGUCACCGUGUAAACCCUAUCACACGCAAGGUUCCACCAAGGAUGCCCGUACCUGCAGAUCGCGC